rnacentral:rRNA from 1 species
AUGAUAGAGGAAAGCAGAAUUUUCUAGUGUAGAGGUGAAAUUCGUAGAUAUUAGAAAGAAUACCCAAUUGCGAAGGCAGCUUUCUGGAUCAUUACUGACACUGAGGAACGAAAGCAUGGGUAGCGAAGAGGAUUAGAUACCCUCGUAGUCCAUGCCGUAAACGAUGUGUGUUAGACGUUGGAAAUUUAUUUUCAGUGUCGCAGGGAAACCGAUAAACACACCGCCUGGGGAGUACGACCGGCAAGGUUAAAACUCAAAUGAAUUGACGGGGACCCGCACAAGUAGUGGAGCAUGUGGUUUAAUUCGAAGAUACGCGCAGAACCUUACCAACACUUGACAUGUUCGUCGCGACUCUAAGAGAUUAGAGUUUUCGGUUCGGCCGGACGAAACACAGGUGCUGCAUGGCUGUCGUCAGCUCGUGUCGUGAGAUGUUGGGUUAAGUCCCCCAACGAGCGCAACCCUCACUUUUAGUUGCCAUCAUUAAGUUGGGCACUCUGAAAGAACUGCCAGUGAUAAGCUGGAGGAAGGUGGGGAUGACGUCAAGUCCUCAUGGCCCUUACGUGUUGGGCUACACACGUGCUACAAUGGUAUUUACAACAGGAAGCAAGACUGCGAAGUUAAGCAAAUCCCUAAAAGAUACCUCAGUUCGGAUUGCACUCUGCAACUCGAGUGCAUGAAGCUGGAACUACUAGUAAUCGUGGAUCAGCGUGCCACGGUGAAUGCGUUCCCGGGUCUUGUACACACCGCCCGUCACACCAUGGGAGUUGGUUCUACCUUAAGGCAAGGUUUCAAACCCUUGACCACGGUAUAGUCAGCGACUGGGGUGAAGUGGUAACAAGG